GGCUAAUGCUGUGGCGGCGGCCGCUGUAGGAGAGGGGGGGCAAGCGUUAAUCGGAAUUACUGGGCGGAAAGCGUGCGCAUACGGUCUCGGAAGUCGGGUGUGAAAGGCCCGGGAUCAACCUGGGAAUUGCAUUCGAAACUGCGAGGCUAGGGUACGGAAGAGGGAAGCGGAAUUUCUGGUGUAGCGGUGAAAUGCGUAGAUAUCAGAAGGAACAUCAGUGGCGAAAGCGGCUUCCUGGUCCAGUACCGACGUUCAGGCACGAAAGCGUGGGGAGCAAACAGGAUUAGAUACCCGUGUAGC
rnacentral:rRNA from 1 species